rnacentral:rRNA from 1 species
UACGUAGGGUGCAAGCGUUAAUCGGAAUUACUGGGCGUAAAGCGUGCGCAGGCGGUUUUGUAAGACUGUCGUGAAAUCCCCGGGCUCAACCUGGGAAUGGCGAUGGUGACUGCAAGGCUAGAGUUUGGCAGAGGGGGGUAGAAUUCCACGUGUAGCAGUGAAAUGCGUAGAUAUGUGGAGGAACACCGAUGGCGAAGGCAGCCCCCCUGGGUUAACACUGACGCUCAUGCACGAAAGCGUGGGGAGCAAACAGG